rnacentral:lncRNA from 1 species
AUAAGAUGUUCACAUUAGACUCUAAGUCUAAUAAAGCCCUAUCAAUGAUGGUUUUGUUAGAUGCAUAUCCUAGAAGCCAAUCAGAUUGACACAUUAAUUUUUUCUAGGACAUAAUUUCAUACUUGAUCUAAUUAUUUAGGAUAGUUAAUUAUCAUUCAUGUAGUAUAUGUGUCUAUGAAUUGUUUAAUGAAUUAACAAGAUGAUGAUACAUAUUCUCAAAAAUUGAGAAUUUGAGGCAUGUAUCAUUGAUGGUUAAUUUAUAAACUGCUCCCGACUACUGGAUCAUCAUGAAGAUGGUGAUCAAUCUAGAU